rnacentral:sRNA from 1 species
UAACGAUACAGAGACCGACCGCGAUCGC